AUUUUAAUUCUCUUCCAGAAAAGCCUUUUGUUGCUUUUGUAAGUGGCAUGGAAUCUUUGGUGGAAGCCACCGUGGGAGACCGUGUCCGAGUCCCUGUGAAGUACCUUGGUUACCCUCCCCCAGAAAUAAAAUGGUAUAAAAAUGGAAGACCCAUUGAGUCUAACCACACAAUUAAAGUAGGGCAUGUACUGACUAUUGUGGAAGUGAGUGA